rnacentral:rRNA from 1 species
UGGGGAAUCUUGGACAAUGGGCGCAAGCCUGAUCCAGCCAUGCCGCGUGGAUGAUGAAGGCCUUAGGGUUGUAAAAUCCUUUCGUGGGGGACGAUAAUGACGGUACCCCAAGAAGAAGCUCCGGCUAACUUCGUGCCAGCAGCCGCGGUAAUACGAAGGGGGCUAGCGUUGUUCGGAUUUACUGGGCGUAAAGCGCGUGUAGGCGGGUCGUUAAGUUGGGGGUGAAAUCCCGAGGCUCAACCUCGGAACUGCCUUCAAAACUGGCGACCUGGACCUAAGUAGAGGCAAGUGGAAUUGCGAGUGUAGAGGUGAAAUUCGUAGAUAUUCGCAGGAACACCAGUGGCGAAGGCGACUUGCUGGACUUAUGGUGACGCUGAGACGCGAAAGCGUGGGGAGCAAACAGGAUUAGAUACCCCCGUAGUCCCUGAGCGGGCUGGCAAGGCGCAU